CCUACGGGAGGCAGCAGUAGGGAAUCUUCCACAAUGGACGAAAGUCUGAUGGAGCAACGCCGCGUGAGUGAAGAAGGGUUUCGGCUCGUAAAGCACUGUUGGUAGUGAAGAAAGAUAGAGGUAGUAACUGGCCUUUAUUUGACGGUAAUUACUUAGAAAGUACCGGCUAACUACGUGCCAGCAGCCGCGGUAAUACGUAGGUGGCAAGCGUUGUCCGGAUUUAUUGGGCGUAAAGCGAGUGCAGGCGGUUCAAUAAGUCUGAUGUGAAAGCCUUCGGCUCAACCGGAGAAUUGCAUCAGAAACUGUUGAACUAGAGUGCAGAAGAGGAGAGUAGAACUCCAUGUGUAGCGGUGGAAUGCGUAGAUAUAUGGAAGAACACCAGUGGCGAAGGCGGCUCUCUGGUCUGCGACUGACGCUGAGGCUCGAAAGCAUGGGUAGCGAACAGGAUUAGAUACCCUUGUAGUC
rnacentral:rRNA from 1 species